rnacentral:rRNA from 1 species
GAUCCAGACUCCUACGGGAGGCAGCAGUGGAGAAUAUUGCACAAUGGGGGGAACCCUGAUGCAGCGACGCCGCGUGGGUGAAGGAGUACUUCGGUACGUAAAGCCCUAUCAGCAGGAAAGAAAAUGACGGUACCUGACUAAGAAGCCCCGGCUAACUCCGUGCCAGCAGCCGCGGUAAUACGUAGGGGGCAAGCGUUAUCCGGAUUUACUGGGUGUAAAGGGAGCGUAGACGGCAGUGCAAGUCCGGAGUGAAAGCCCGGGGCCCAACCCCGGGACUGCUCUGGAAACUGCGGCGCUGGAGUGCGGGAGGGGCAGGCGGAAUUCCUGGUGUAGCGGUGAAAUGCGUAGAUAUUAGGAGGAACACCAGUGGCGAAGGCGGCCUGCUGGACGAUGACUGACGCUGAGGCUCGAAAGCGUGGGGAGCAAACAG